UACGGGGGGUGCGAGCGUUAAUCGGAAUUACUGGGCGUAAAGGGAGCGUAGGUGGCUCUAUAAGUCAGAUGUGAAAUCCCCGGGCUUAACCUGGGAACUGCAUCUGAAACUGUUAGGCUAGAGUAGGUGAGAGGGAGGUAGAAUUUCAGGUGUAGCGGUGAAAUGCGUAGAGAUCUGAAGGAAUACCGAUGGCGAAGGCAGCCUCCUGGCAUCAUACUGACACUGAGGCUCGAAAGCGUGGGUAGCAAAC
rnacentral:rRNA from 1 species